ACCGUGAUCGUCUAAUGGUUAGGACCCCACGUUGUGGACUUGGUAACCCAGGUUUGAAUCCUGGUCACGGCA
rfam:Octopus bimaculoides Scaffold12767_contig_244, whole genome shotgun sequence.